GUUACCACUGAAGCGGCGGAGAAUCUCAGUCCUUACUCGCCUGCUGUAGAACCGUCCGCUGACGUUUUUCGGGUGCACCUCCAUUUUGCCUCUGAAAAAUACGAAAAUGUCUCUCAGCACAGCUUCCGGCGGUGGCGCCGCCGGAGGCGGCGAGAUAUACGGCGGAAUCAGCACAUGCUCGGCCUCCUGGCAGGCGUGGUUGCCUCUAACUCCGAAUGUUUGUAACAAGAUUGAGUUCUUCAAAAACGCUGGAAUCCCCGCGGCGACGGCGACGUCCUCCAUGGCGUGGAAGCAGGCGCCGUAGUCGUGUGUGGCAAUGAUUACGUGGUCCCGGCCGCCGGUGCGGUUCCAGAACGGGUGGAGGGUGGAGAUGUGCGAGACGGCAUCGGCGAGGAGGGGGCGGGCG
rnacentral:misc_RNA from 1 species